rfam:Rattus norvegicus chromosome 10, whole genome shotgun sequence.
GGGGACUUAGCUCAGUGGUAGAGCGCUUGCCUAGCAAGCACAAGGCCCUGGGUUCGGUCCCCAGCUCCA